GGCUGCGCUCGUUAACCCGGCGCUGAGCACAGCCCCCAGCCCAGCUGCCAGCAAUGCCCCCUCAGGAGGGGCUCUGGGUUUGCAGCCCAGAGGGAAACGUUAGCUGUGAAAGGAGGAUUCAUGGUGCCCAGAGCCUGGCAGCAGGAUUCAGCCCCUCUCCCACAUCCCUAAAUGAAUACAGGGCACAGCCACUGGGUCUGUUCUAGGAUGCUCGAGGAGCACCUGAGCUUAUUUGGGGUGAUUUCCUCCACUUAAGGCAGGGAUAGCAGCUUUCUGAGCCCACUCCUAUUCUCCCCGUGCUCAGGAUAGCAUCUCCCUCCUCGGCACAGAGCUGAGCAUUGCAGCGCAGGGCAGAGCACGGGGUUGGUGCUGGGGGGCUGCUGGGGGGGCAUUUCUGUCACAGCACCGAGCAUAGGGAGCAGGAUGGCAGGUGGUUGCAUGACGUGGGGCUUUUUUUGCACGGGACACGAAGCGAGGAGGGGGACUCCAAGGUGCCGCGUGCCCAGAUGGAGCCCCAGCUCCGACAUCUGAUCGCCGCCGAGAGAACAGCGCCCGCGGCAGCCUGCAGCAACAAGGGAAUAUCCUUCUGGAUGCAGACAAAGCGAACAGCAGCUCCCCAGCAUCCCCCAAGCAUCUCUCAGCACUUCAUCCCAUCCCCAUCGCAGCAGAAUGGGAGCGAGGUGGGUGAGCUGCUCCUGCUGGGGUUUGCCUCUAUUCACCCUAGAAAUGGCUGCAGGGAAAUCAGCCCUGGGUGCCCUGCAGCUGCAAAAGGGAGAGCUGCAAAGGGGAGGGAUGCAAAAGGGAGAGCUGCAUCCUCCGUGGUGCUGGGAUCCUUCUGAAUGGACAGGAAAGGGCAGUUGGGCAUCAUGGGGAGGAUAUCUGAGGUGGGCACGUGGAGGAUGGGGUUGUGGAGGAGGAGCUGGGUGCUGUGCCAGGGCAGCCCUGCGACAAACAGCCGCCACCAGCUGCCUUGAUAGCUCCGCUGGAAGGCUUUAGGGUGGGCUCCAGCAAGCAGAUACGCAGGGCAUCAUCAUCCCCCCGUGCUCUGCCCUGUGCAAUCUGCCCCCUGCAAACCCACCCCAGCAGGAGAGCAUCCCCCCGCAGCUCCUGGGCUGCUGCAUGCGCCUGGCUUCAUGGCACAGAGCUGGGGAAAGAGAGUCACCCCCCCACCCCGCAC
rnacentral:lncRNA from 1 species